UGCCCUAGUAACGGCGAGUGAAGCGGCAACAGCUCAAAUUUGAAAUCUGGCUCUCGGGCCCGAGUUGUAAUUUGUAGAGGAUACUUUUGAUGCGGUGCCUUCCGAGUUCCCUGGAACGGGACGCCAUAGAGGGUGAGAGCCCCGUCUGGUUGGAUGCCAAAUCUCUGUAAAGUUCCUUCAACGAGUCGAGUAGUUUGGGAAUGCUGCUCUAAAUGGGAGGUAUAUGUCUUCUAAAGCUAAAUACCGGCCAGAGACCGAUAGCGCACAAGUAGAGUGAUCGAAAGAUGAAAAGCACUUUGAAAAGAGAGUUAAAAAGUACGUGAAAUUGUUGAAAGGGAAGCGUUUAUGACCAGACUUGGGCUUGGUUAAUCAUCUGGGGUUCUCCCCAGUGCACUUUUCCAGUCCAGGCCAGCAUCAGUUUUCCCCGGGGGAUAAAGGCGGCGGGAAUGUGGCUCUCUUCGGGGAGUGUUAUAGCCCACCGUGUAAUACCCUGGGGGGGACUGAGGUUCGCGCAUCUGCAAGGAUGCUGGCGUAAUGGUCAUCAACGACCCGUCUUGAAACACGGACCAAGGAGUCGUCUUCGUAUGCGAGUGUUCGGGUGUCAAACCCCUACGCGUAAUGAAAGUGAACGCAGGUGAGAGCUUCGGCGCAUCAUCGACCGAUCCUGAUGUUCUCGGAUGGAUUUGAGUAAGAGCAUACGGGGCCGGACCCGAAAGAAGGUGAACUAUGCCUGUAUAGGGUGAAGCCAGAGGAAACUCUGGUGGAGGCUCGCAGCGGUUCUGACGUGCAAAUCGAUCGUCAAAUAUGGGCAUG
rnacentral:rRNA from 1 species